GAUGAACGCUAGCGGCAGGCCUAACACAUGCAAGUCGAGGGAGAGGUUACCUUCGGGUAACCAAAACCGGCGCACGGGUGCGUAACGCGUAUACAAUCUGCCUUUCACAUAGGGAUAGCCCGAAGAAAUUUGGAUUAAUACCUAAUGGUAUAUAAGAGCGGCAUCGUUUUUAUAUUAAAGCUACGGUGGUGAAAGAUGAGUAUGCGUUCUAUUAGCUAGUUGGAGAGGUAACGGCUCCCCAAGGCGACGAUAGAUAGGGGUUCUGAGAGGGAUGUCCCCCACACUGGUACUGAGAUACGGACCAGACUCCCACGGGAGGCAGCAGUGAGGAAUAUUGGACAAUGGUCGGAAGACUGAUCCAGCCAUGCCGCGUGCAGGAUGAAGGUCCUAUGGAUUGUAAACUGCUUUUGUAAGGGAAGAAUAAGGAGUACGUGUACUUUGAUGACGGUACCUUACGAAUAAGCAUCGGCUAACUCCGUG
rnacentral:rRNA from 1 species